rnacentral:tRNA from 1 species
GAGGUUGUGGUGUAACGGUAGCAUCCCUGGCUUUUAACCAGGCGGGUGGGGGUUCAAAUCCCUUCAACCUCA